UGACAGAAUUGUGGUCUAGAACAACUAUAAGGCUUUCGUUUUGACCAAGCUGAGAUGUGAUCAGGCCGUAUAAAGUCCACGCCACCGGUGAACCCCAGUAAUACCACCUCCACCAGAUCGGUAUUUGCUGCAAUGUUCAGAAAAUCACUCCAAAGAGUAUGCCAAUCACUGUCGUCAUGAAGAACCGGACAGCAUUAUACUGUGGAUGCCUCCAGUAAGACCAGUGUUGUUUCCAUAAACAAGCCAUGCAUUGUGUCCGAAAGGAUUGAGAGUACUUUGUAGGGAAGUAAAGGUCAUGGGACCCUGUUACUGGUGUACUGAGCACCUUAAUGAGCUCUUGGCUCCUCCUGUAACACAACCCUUUAGAAAGAAACUUAGUAGAAUCUAAACGAUGAUGCUUAGGGAUUUUGUAUUCAUACUUAUAAAGAUCAGAGUUGGCAUAGAUAUCUGCAAAAUCAACACCAAGUUGAUCUUCAACAGCUGAAGAACUAACUUCGAGCAUCCAUGUGGCCGGAUUUUGACCUUGUUUGAUUUUGUUAACCCCUGGAAUAGACUGACAAGUUUGUUCGAGCUAUUAGAUUCUUUGCAUUGUAUGAAUUGAAGCAUGAAAAUUAGGGAUGUACUCACUUCAAAAUAUUCUAUUAGGUGGUUAGAAUGGUGCCCAAGAGGUCCGGUGUAGGUGAUCUUCCCGCCUAUUUUCAUCAAUAAUAACUGCAAUAAAGUGAGAAAUUUUGAAGAUAAUUCACUCAAAUGAAUCUAGAAAAUGGAAACAUGGAUACUUAUUUUAAGAUAAUUAACCUCGUCAAAAGCCUCGAAAAUGUCGAUACUCGGUUGGUGAAUCGUGCAGACGACUGUACGACCGGUGUCGACCGUGUUUCUAACAGUACGCAUGACAAUGGCAGCAGCUCUUGCAUCAAGGCCUGAUGUCGGCUCAUCCAUGAAGAUGAUUGAUGGAUUUGCAACCAAUUCUACUGCUAUUGUCAGCCUCUUUCUUUGUUCUGUUGAAAGACCAUCUACUCCUGGAAGCCCAACGAUUGCAUUCCUUAACGGGUUCAGUUCCACCAAAUCCAUGAUUUCUUCCACAAACAUCUAAAAGACAUGUAGUUGUUGGUAUGUUUAGAGUAAUCCAUUGAACUCUUAUUGCACUCCCAUUGUGGAUGCCCUAAGAGUAAUGAUCAAAGUGUUUCUGAAAAAAGGUUAUUCUUCCAGCACACACUCCUAGCUAGGUGGCUGGCAUAAGAGCCCAAUCCACACAGGAAUUUACCAUCAUGUGCUACGAUGCUUGGGAAAAAAUGGUCAAAGCUGUGAAAACUAUAAAAAAUUUACCUGGCGAGUUUCUGUGGUUAUGUCUGGAGCAAGGCGUAACCAGGCAGAGUACACAAGCGACUCAUAAACAGUGACAUGGGGUGAAUGGAUGUCGUUUUGUUCACAGUAUCCACUGACACGAGCAAAUGUUUCUUGUUUUUUCGGGUAACCAGAGAUGCUGAUACUUCCUUCAAUAUACCCACUAGUCUUUCUCCCAGCUAACACAUCCAUCAAUGUCGUCUUUCCUGCCCCACUGAUUCCAACCAAAGCUGUCAGAAUGCCUGGGCGGAAUGUGCCACUGACAUCUUGUAGGAGUUGCAGACGAUCCUCUUCGAUUCCUUGUGUUUUCAUUUCCUGAUAAAUUUGUCAAAUAUUUAUGUCAUUCUUUCACAGAUUAUCCGAGGAAAUCAUGUUUCUGAAUCUUGGUUAGAACGGGGACUUACAGCAGGCAUGGCUAUAUAGUAAUUGACAUGGUCAAAUGCAACUGAGAGCGGCUGAAAUGGGAGCACCAAUCCCUUCGUAACGAUGUUUCUUGUUGCCAUUUCUGUUCCUGUUUGUGGGUGUUUCUGAUUCUUCUCAUCCUCUGUCAGAACAACAGUUUUUGAAUCUCCCGGAGCUGGAUUUUGGAUCAAACUUGUGUAUAAGAUGCAACUAUAACCCGUGAAGAUAACAAAAGAUUAAGCAAAUAAACAUAAACGAAAGUCUAGCUUACGGUUCAAAUAUGUCAGAGCUAACACAAAGAAGAGGUUAAAGAGAUGUGAAAACCCGAAAAGUGCAAUGACACAAACCCAAAACAUAUAAUCGGUUGUGAACAUUCCCCUGGAUUUGAGAAGAACCUUUCCAACAGUUGGUUCACUGAUUCGUGGAUCAGGAUUCGGCUAUCACACAAGUGAAAGCUAUUUAUUUCACAAACAUGCAAAAAAAAUGCAUUUGUAAGUUGUAACAAACGAAGCUUACAGUGCUCCAUCGAUCAUCUAAAAACUCGUUGAUCACAAUAGCAUUUUGUCCAUACAUUAUUGGGGAAAUGUAAUAGCCCCAUUUCAUCCAUGGGCCAAUGUCGUCUUCAAGAAACAAAAUAUGUUAAAAACAAGCCCAAUCUAGUACAAAAUCCAAGAGCUAGGAAUAGGAUACAUACCUUUUGCAACAAUGAAUCCACCGAAUACAAAAAUCAAUAGCAACGAAAAGGUGGCAAGAGCACCUGCAACAAUUUGCUUUCUUCCAAGUGCAGCAAUGAAACGGUAAAGAGAAGAAGCCAUUUGAUGUAGGCCAAUAUAAGCCAAAAGCUGCCGGAAAAACCUGAUAAUAUUCAAACAUGUUAGAUUCAUUCAAAUUUUUACCUAAUUUCGUUUCACAAAAGUGUUGACUACUUGCCUACUAGCCGAAGGAGCAAAACCGGUAGUGUAAUAUGUUAGAACAAUCCAUAUUACUGACUCUAUGAUUGAUAUAGGAAUCUUCAUGAUCCAUAUGGGUAUUGCAAAUGCCCACGCAGGGUAAAACAUUGAGUCCCUCUGUUUGAAGAACACAGGAAGCCUCAUAAUCGUCAACGCCAGCUCAGCAACCCCAUUAAACAUCACAUUUAAAAGACCGAAGAACAAAGCACCAAAAAACUUGCCACCAUCUUCAAGUCGACCACUCUUCAUUUCAGUUCUAAAGAACACCGUGAAAGCAAUGACAGACAUGAUAGUAAUCUGGGUAGUCCUGAAUAUGUACACAAAAGCAUUCCGUUUCAUCAACAGCCAUUCUCUUGCUAAGUUUGCUUUAAGGAGCUCCAUGUUUGAAAUACCAUACUUCUUAGUCACCAAAGCAGCUGGAUGCAUUUGGGUUUUGUCAUAAGGAAGGGCAAGAUCGUGAUAAAGGCGCUCACCGGUUUCAUACUGGCUGAAAAGCUGACCAAAUUCAGAUACUGAGAUGUAACGAUAAGGUUCGUUUCUUUUGAACCAGUAUUGCUCUUGGUCUUUCUUUGAAGUAA